AUGCUUAAAACUUAUCUUGCUAAAGCUUUUGAUCGCAUAGAAUGGAAUUUCUUUGUCUCUUCUCUUGCUCGUAGAGGGUUGCAUGCUCAUUUCUUUAAUUUGAUCCAUGCUUGCAUUUCUUCUCCUACUUUCUCUGUCAUCAUCAAUGGCCAGCCUUCGGAUAAAUUCACAAGUCAUAGGGGGAUUCGACAAGGUUGCCCUUUGUCUCCUUAUAUUUUUGUGCUUGACAUAAAUGAAUUGUCUCUUGCUCUUAAUGAGGUCAUGUUAGCUAAUCAUCUUCAUGGUAUUAUUCUUGGACCAAAUUUUCCUCCUAUCCACUCUCUUCCCUUUGCAGAUGAUGUUCUCAUUUGUGGACAAACCACUUUGCAAGAAGCAACAUCCAUUGCCAAUAAUCCAAAAUUGUGUUGUUUCACGUCAAACUCCAAACUGGUCCAGAUCUGCAAUUCUAUUCAUUACCCAUAUCAAUGA
rnacentral:rRNA from 1 species